AGUGAACGCUGGCGGCAGGCCUAACACAUGCAAGUCGAACGAACUCUUCGGAGUUAGUGGCGGACGGGUGAGUAACACGUGGGAACGUGCCUUUUGGCUCGGAAUAACACAUGGAAACUUGUGCUAAUACCGAAUGAGUUCUUCGGGGGAAAGAUUUAUCGUCAUUAGAGCGGCCCGCGUCUGAUUAGCUAGUUGGUGAGGUAACGGCUCAUCAAGGCGACGAUCAGUAGCGGGUUUGAGAGGAUGACCAGCCACACUGGGACUGAGACACGGCCCAGACUCCUACGGGAGGCAGCAGUGGGGAAUCUUGCGCAAUGGGCGAAAGCCUGACGCAGCCAUGCCGCGUGAAUGAUGAAGGUCUUAGGAUUGUAAAAUUCUUUCACCGGGGACGAUAAUGACGGUACCCGGAGAAGAAGCCCCGGCUAACUUCGUG
rnacentral:rRNA from 1 species